rfam:Triticum aestivum genome assembly, contig: Triticum_aestivum_CS42_TGACv1_scaffold_307969_4AS
CAAGUACUCCCUCCGUCCAGAAAUGCUUUUCGGAGGAAUACAUGUGUCUAGACGUAUUUUAAUUUUAGAUAGAUCCAUUUUUAUCCAUUUAUACGACAAGUAAUUCUGAACGGAGGAAGUAGAGA